UCGGCUUCACGGUUAUCAGUUAAGACUUCAGUCUGAGUCUCUCGCUUACAGAUUUGUUUGAAUUUGUGGAAUGUUUUACAACAGAGGACAAAAAGAGCAAUGGUAUGUUUACCGACAACCCAAUGAAACCUGCCAUGCGUAAUCCACGCUAUCGUUUGCCACUUCCAGUCACGAAAAAGACUUUACAACACCUGCAAGCACGUGCAGCCUGAAGUUCUGCAGAGUAAAACCAGCCUGCAACUUGCUGGAAUUUCUCCCUGCCGUCCUUGCAAUUGCAGUAAUAAUCAUCUGACACAGUGUGACCAAGAUCCCUUUUGAUACUUUGCGGAACAGAAGAAAACACCUAAAGAAACCAGACGGAGAAGAAAUGGUUUGAUGACUAUACAAGGCACGACAACCUCUGUUGAUCUCGCUUUCCAGCAAGUGGACGACUACACCCCAUCAUCCUAGAGAAUGAUGCCGGCAAUUGUAAAAAGAAAAAGUCACACGUCUUUCCUUGAG